rnacentral:rRNA from 1 species
CCUACGGGAGGCAGCAGUGGGGGAUAUUGCACAAUGGGGGGAACCCUGAUGCAGCGACGCCGCGUGGGUGAAGAAGCGCCUCGGCGCGUAAAGCCCUGUCAGCAGGGAAGAAAAUGACGGUACCUCAAGAAUAAGCCCCGGCUAACUACGUGCCAGCAGCCGCGGUAAUACGUAGGGGGCAAGCGUUAUCCGGAUUUACUGGGUGUAAAGGGCGCGCAGACGGCGAUGCAAGUCAGGAGUGAAAGCCCUGGGCCCAACCACGGGACUGCUCUUGGAACUGCGUGGCUGGAGUGCAGGAGGGGCAGGCGGAAUUCCUGGUGUAGAGGUGAAAUGCGUAGAGAUCAGGAGGAACACCGGUGGCGAAGGCGGCCUGCUGGACUGUAACUGACGUUGAGGCGCGAAAGCGUGGGGAGCAAACAGGAUUAGAUACCCCGGUAGUC